AUUGAACGCUGGCGGCAGGCCUAACAAAUGCAAGUCGAACGAGUGGAAGACGGGUGAGUAAUGUCUGGGAAACUGCCUGAUGGAGGGGGAUAAAUACUGGAAACGGUAGCUAAUCCCGCAUACCAUCAGAUGUGCCCAGAUGGGAAUAGCUAGUUGUGGGGGUAAAGGCUCACUAGGGCGACGAUCCCUAGCUGGUCUGCGAGGAUGACCGGCCACACUGGAACUGAGACACGGUCCAUACUCCGACGUGAGGCAGCAGGGGGGAAGAGUGCACAAUGGGCGCAAGCCGGAUGCAGCCAUGCCGCGUGUAUGAAGAAGGCCUUCGGGUUGUAAAGUACUUUCAGCGUGGAGGCGUUACCCGCAGAAGAAGCACCGGCUAACUCCGUGCCAGCCACCGCGGUAAUAC
rnacentral:rRNA from 1 species